rnacentral:rRNA from 1 species
UACAGAGGGUGCGAGCGUUGUCCGGAAUCACUGGGCGUAAAGGGCGCGUAGGCGGUCUUUUAAGCGUGUGGUGAAAGCCCGGGGCUCAACCCCGGGUCGGCCGUGCGAACUGGGAGACUGGAGCAGAUCAGAGGCAGGCGGAAUUCCGGGUGGUAGCGGUGGAAGUGCGUAGAGAUCCGGAAGAACACCGGUGGCGAAGGCGGCCUGCUGGGAUCUGGCUGACGCUGAAGCGCGACAGCGUGGGGGAGCAAACAGG